rnacentral:rRNA from 1 species
AUUGAACGCUGGCGGCAUGCCUUACACAUGCAAGUCGAACGGCAGCACGGGAGCAAUCCUGGUGGCGAGUGGCGAACGGGUGAGUAAAGUAUCGGAACGUGCCCAGUCGUGGGGGAUAACGUAGCGAAAGUUACGCUAAUACCGCAUACGAUCUAUGGAUGAAAGCGGGGGAUCGCAAGACCUCGCGCGAUUGGAGCGGCCGAUAUAAGAUUAGGUAGUUGGUGGGGUAAAGGCUCACCAAGCCGACGAUCUGUAGCUGGUCUGAGAGGACGACCAGCCACACUGGGACUUGGACACGGCCCAGACUCCUACGGGAGGCAGCAGUGGGGAAUUUUGGACAAUGGGCGAAAGCCUGAUCCAGCCAUGCCGCGUGCAGGAUGAAGGCCUUCGGGUUGUAAACUGCUUUUGUACGGAACGAAAAGGUUUGGGCUAAUAAGCUGAGCUCAUGACGGUACCGUAAGAAUAAGCACCGGCUAACUACGUGCCAGCCGCCGCCGUAA